rnacentral:tRNA from 1 species
GGUGGCUCAGUUGUAGAGUGCUUGCCUUGCAUGCAUGAGGCCCUGGGUUCAAUUCCUCAGUACCA